rnacentral:rRNA from 1 species
AGUGAACGCUGGCGGUAGGCCUAACACAUGCAAGUCGAACGGCAGCACAGUAAGAGCUUGCUCUUACGGGUGGCGAGUGGCGGGCGGGUGAGGAAUACAUCGGAAUCUACUUUUUCGUGGGGGAUAACGUAGGGAAACUUACGCUAAUACCGCAUACGACCUACGGGUGAAAGCAGGGGAUCUUCGGACCUUGCGCGAUUGAAUGAGCCGAUGUCGGAUUAGCUAGUUGGCGGGGUAAAGGCCCACCAAGGCGACGAUCCGUAGCUGGUCUGAGAGGAUGAUCAGCCACACUGGAACUGAGACACGGUCCAGACUCCUACGGGAGGCAGCAGUGGGGAAUAUUGGACAAUGGGCGCAAGCAUGAUCCAGCCAUACCGCGUGGGUGAAGAAGGCCUUCGGGUUGUAAAGCCCUUUUGUUGGGAAAGAAAAGCAGCAGGUUAAUACCCCGCUGUUCUGACGGUACCCAAAGAAUAAGCACCGGCUAACUUCGUG